UGGGGAAUAUUGCGCAAUGGGCGGAAGCCUGACGCAGCGACGCCGCGUGGGGGAUGACGGCCUUCGGGUUGUAAACCUCUUUCGACAGGGACGAAGUUGACGUGUACCUGUAGAAGAAGCGCCGGCUAACUACGUGCCAGCAGCCGCGGUAAUACGUAGGGCGCAAGCGUUGUCCGGAAUUAUUGGGCGUAAAGAGCUCGUAGGCGGCCUGUUGCGUCCGCUGUGAAAUCCCAGGGCUUAACCCUGGGCCUGCAGUGGAUACGGGCAGGCUAGAGGCAGGCAGGGGAGAACGGAAUUCCCGGUGUAGCGGUGAAAUGCGCAGAUAUCGGGAGGAACACCGGUGGCGAAGGCGGUUCUCUGGGCCUGUUCUGACGCUGAGGAGCGAAAGCGUGGGUAGCAAACAGGAUUAGAUACCCCGGUAGUCC
rnacentral:rRNA from 1 species